AUUGAACGCUGGCGGCAGGCCUAACACAUGCAAGUCGAGCGGAGCGGCGGACGGGUGAGUAAUGCCUAGGAAUCUGCCUGGUAGUGGGGGAUAACGUCCGGAAACGGGCGCUAAUACCGCAUACUAUCAGAUGAGCCUAGGUCGGAUUAGCUAGUUGGUGGGGUAAAGGCCUACCAAGGCGACGAUCCGUAACUGGUCUGAGAGGAUGAUCAGUCACACUGGAAAUGAGAACCGGUCCAGACUCCGACGGGAGGCAGCAGUGGGGAAUAUUGGACAAUGGGCGAAAGCCUGAUGCAGCCAUGUCGCGUGUAUGAAGAAGGCCUUAGGGUUUUAAAGUACUUUCAGCGGGGAGGCGUUACCCGCAGAAGAAGCACCGGCUAACUCCGUGCCAGCAGCCGCGGUAAUAC
rnacentral:rRNA from 1 species